rnacentral:rRNA from 1 species
UACAGAGGGUGCGAGCGUUAAUCGGAAUUACUGGGCGUAAAGCGCGCGUAGGUGGCGACGUAAGUCGGGUGUGAAAGCCCCGGGCUCAACCUGGGAAUUGCAUUCGAGACUGCAUUGCUGGAGUACGGAAGAGGAGGGCGGAAUUCCCGGUGUAGCGGUGAAAUGCGUAGAUAUCGGGAGGAACAUCAGCGGCGAAGGCGGCCCUCUGGUCCAGUACUGACACUCAAGUGCGAAAGCGUGGGGAGCAAAUAGG